AGCUCAGGGAUAGGAUUGUGACCCAAUCAAAGCUAAUGAGAUGCAUUGGGACUCUCUGGGACUACUGGGAGUGAGGCUGAAACUCAUUUUCACCUGACUUCAGUCAAGGAACACCUGAACCUAGAGCUACAACCCCACACGGUGGGGGUGGGGAGGCUAUCAGAGGCAGCGCCAAUGUUCAAGAAGUAAAAGAGGGAAGGAGAGACAGCCUUGCCUAGUAAUAUAAUACCUUGAUCAGCUCCCUCUUGGACUACUACGUUAAGUGAACUAAGAUUUCUCUGUCUCUUUUUUUAAAGAUUUUAUUUUUCCUUUUUCUCCCCAAAGUCCUCCAGUACAUAGUUGUGUAUUUUUAGUUGUGGGUCCUUCUAGCUGUGGCAUGUGGGACACUGCCUCAGCAUGGCUUGAUGAGCGGUGCCAUGUCCACGCCCAGGAUUUGAACUGGUGAAACCCUGGCCUGCCGAAGCAGAGCGCAAGAACUUAACCACUUGGCCAUGGGGCCAGCCCCUAAGAUUUCUCUUUUGCUUGAUCUGGUUUGGGUUGGCCUCUUCUUAUGCCUCCUUGGCUUCCAGGAGAGCAAUUAAAGAGCUUUUCCUCUAGCUUCACUGAAGAAGAUUAAGCUGGGUAAUCCCAGAGAGGAUGGAGGUUUUGACUCAUAAAGAAAGAGUGACAUGCAAGGCCAACGACAGAAUAUACCUUCUCUAAGGCCUGUAAAGCCAUUCCCACUGGACAGAGGCAAGAUUGUUAAGAUUCCAUGCAAAGUGACCAUCAGCUGGCAGGGUCUAUACCAGAGGGCAUCAGAGAAAGAAAGAAAAAACUGGUCUCUGAGGUGUGAACAGUUCAAAAACAGUAAAUAAAUGGAGAGUGAAGUGGGAUUAUUUUUAUUAACUUUCAAACUCAAAGACCUUUAUCAAAAUCAGAUCUUAUAGAAGAGGGAGUAGGGACACUUGGCCGGAUGCCUCUUCCACAACCCUCAUCCCUCACCUUCAAGGUAAACAAGGAAGAAGGAAAAAGAAAUAGCAAAGAGGGAGAGAGAAAAACCGACUUUCCUUCAGCGAGGACCACGCUCCUCUCAGAAAGGGGCCAGGCUUUCAAGGGCCUCUGAUGCAGGAAGGUAGAGGGUAGCUCGGUCUCCUGCAAAUGCAGUCCACUCUCUCAAGCUGAGAUGACAUCUGAGGACAAACCAGAGGCAAUAAGUGGAGGAGCUAGCUUCAGAGUGAUUACUUCUCAAGCUGGAGGUGUGUUUUUGGAUGCUUCAGAGAAACUCUCCAAAUCUUAUUUUCCUAUUUUGAAAAAUGAGGGAGGGGUUUGGAAUUUGGAUGUGUAAGGCCACUUCCAACUCUAAGAUUCUAUCAUUCCAAUUAUAAAAUGUUGCUAAUUUUCUAUUAAUUUUGUCUCACCUUCAAUUGAUAUCCAUGAAAAUGUAGAAAGAUCAUAAAAUUUGUAGUCAAGUCUUGGGUUCAAGUCCCAACCACAAGCUACGUAAUCUCGGACAAGCUCCUUGGUUUACUCUGAGCCUUUAUCCUUAUCUGCAAAACUGAGAAAAUAAGCCUCACAGUGUGGUUGCAAGAGUCAAGUGAGGGGGUAUCUGUGAGAGCACUUAUAAACUCUAAGGUGUUAAAACAAGUGUACUACAGCAUUCUUAUUAAAUCUGAGCCACUCAUUUCCAUUUCUUUGCUCUAUUUAAACCUCACUAAUUAAAUAUGUAAAUGAUUUAUCCCACAGACAUUGACAGUGUCUCCUGUUUUAGGCACUAGAGAUACUUUAUAGUGAAUAAGACACUGAGGUCACUGACAUCAUGGGACUUGGACUUGAAAAUGUUCUUUUAACAUCUGCAUCAGAUAAGGAAAUCUAGGCAUACACAUAUUUUAGCAAGAUACAUAAAAGGUAAAUCACUGUACCCAGUACUGUAGAGAGAUGAAUUGAGUAACUAUGAACACAGGUCCUGCUAUGGCCCCACGCAUAAGGAGAGGCACUGUUUCAGGUACUGGGAGACUGAACAUCGAACAUUGAACAAGACCAAGCCCCUGGCCUUCUGGAGCUUACAUUCUAUCAGAAAGGUUGAAUCAGUCAGAGUAUUACUAAUUAUAAAUGGAAGACACAGCCAAAGAAAUGUAUGAGGCUGAUGUAAGAGGUAUGAAACAUAGUUCUGGACCCACAGCUUCUGGUCUCUUCUCUUGGACACACUAGGUUUCCCUUCAUCAGAACUGAAGGCAUCAUAAACUCUGACUUGCUUGCCUCAUGUCUCAUUUCUCAUUCUAAUUAUUCAGCUUGGACAAGUUAACAGCCUUUACACCACGUAGUAAGACACGUAGGCAUAGGGGAUAAUCACAGCUAUUUUUCAGCUGUGGUCAGUUGUUAUGGCUUAAUUAGAUUGUAAAACAGGAUUCACAUAGUCUGCAAAGUAUGAUUCAGCUUUACCUUUUUUUCAGGUUCCUUUGAGUCUACGUCGUGACCCACUUAACACAAGGACCCCCACAGCCAGUAACAGACUACCAGCCUCCACCUAACCCCUAAAGUAUUGAUCAUUAUGCAUUCAGCUGUAUAGUCAACAACCGCAGAUUCUCUUCUUUGAGACACGGUGCUAGGUCCUUGCUUCCUGGCAUUUACAAUCACAUUUGAAAACUUAGAAAUGCCAAUAACUCCAAUAUAAGAGUAGGAGCAGAUGCCAUUGACUAAGUGAGAUAUAGGAGCUCCAGGGAAGGAGACAUCAUUUCUGACUCCAGUGACUAGGUGCGAGGAGGAUGCAGCUCUGAUGAGAGCCUGCUUUGUCCUGGGACAGUCCUCGAUAUUUUACAGACUCUGUCACUUGAUGUGGAAGGCUUCAUGAAGGACUUGGAGUCUAAGGCCUUGAGUGAUGGGAAGAAUUAGGAAAGGCAGA
rnacentral:lncRNA from 1 species